rnacentral:rRNA from 1 species
GCGGAGAAAUUCCAAUCGAACUCGGAGAUAGCUGGUUCUCCUCGAAAUAGCUUUAGGGCUAGCGUCGGAUAUGAGUAGUGGAGGUAGAGCACUGAAUGGGCUAGGGGGCAUAGCGCUUACCGAACCUUAUCAAACUCCGAAUGCCACAUACUUUGAGCUCGGCAGUCAGACUACGAAUGAUAAGAUCCGUGGUCAAAAGGGAAACAGCCCAGAUCGUCAGCUAAGGUCCCAAAGUGUAAGUUAAGUGGAAAAGGAUGUGGGAUUUCUAAGACAACUAGGAUGUUGGCUUAGAAGCAGCCACUCAUUUAAAGAGUGCGUAAUAGCUCACUAGUCGAGAGAUCCUGCGCCGAAAAUGUCCGGGGCUCAAACUUACCACCGAAGCUACGGGCUCAAGUUUACUUGAGCGGUAGAGGAGCGUCGUAAUCGGGCUGAAGUCGUACCGUAAGGAGCGGUGGACUGAUUACGAGUGAGAAUGUUGGCAUUAGUAGCGAGAUGUAGGUGAGAAUCCUACAGGCCGAAUAUCUAAGGUUUCCUCAGGAAGGCUCGUCCGCUGAGGGUUAGUCGGGACCUAAGCCGAGGCCGAAAGGCGUAGGCGAUGGACAAUCGGUUGAUAUUCCGAUACCACUACCAUCGUUAAUAUCGAGGGUGUGACGGAGAAGGAUAGUGUGUGCUAGCGAUUGGAAAUGCUAGUCUAAGCGUUUAGGGAGUUACGGUAGGCAAAUCCGCUGUAACAAUUCUGAGGCGUGAUGGGGAAGGUCAUAUAGACCGAAGUACAUGAUUCCAUGCUUCCAAGAAAAGCAUCUAGAGAGAGAAGUAGUGCCCGUACCGCAAACCGACACAGGUAGAUGAGGAGAGAAUCCUAAGGCCAUCGGAAGAAUUGCAGUUAAGGAACUAGGCAAAUUGACCCCGUAAGUUCGCGAGAAGGGGUGCCUGUGAGAGCAGGCCGCAGAGAAUAGGCCCAAGCAACUGUUUAGCAAAAACACAGGUCUCUGCUAAAGCGAAAGCUGAUGUAUAGGGGCUGACGCCUGCCCGGUGCUGGAAGGUUAAGGGGAAUGCUUAGCGCAAGCGAAGGUGUGAACUUAAGCCCCAGUAAACGGCGGCCGUAACUAUAACGGUCCUAAGGUAGCGAAAUUCCUUGUCAGGUAAGUUCUGACCCGCACGAAUGGCGUAAUGACUUGGGCACUGUCUCAACUGCAAAUCCGGCGAAGUUGUAGUGCGAGUGAAGAUGCUCGCUACCCGCGAUUGGACGGAAAGACCCCGUAGAGCUUUACUGUAGCUUAGCAUUGAGUUUCGAUAUUGUCUGUACAGGAUAGGUGGGAGACUGAGAAGCUAGGGCGUCAGCCUUAGUGGAGUCAACCUUGGGAUACCACCCUGACAGUAUUGGGAUUCUAACCGGACGCCAUGAAUCUGGUGACGGGACAUUGUUAGGUGGGCAGUUUGACUGGGGCGGUCGCCUCCUAAAAAGUAACGGAGGCGCCCAAAGGUUCCCUCAG